UACGUAGGGUGCAAGCGUUGUCCGGAAUCAUUGGGCGUAAAGAGCUCGUAGGCGGCUUGUUGCGUCGGCUGUGAAAACCCGCGGCUUAACUGCGGGCUUGCAGCCGAUACGGGCGGGCUGGAGUUCGGUAGGGGAGACUGGAAUUCCUGGUGUAGCGGUGAAAUGCGCAGAUAUCAGGAGGAACACCGGUGGCGAAGGCGGGUCUCUGGGCCGAUACUGACGCUGAGGAGCGAAAGCGUGGGGAGCGAACAGG
rnacentral:rRNA from 1 species